CCGGCCCUCGAGUUCCCCGCGA
rnacentral:miRNA from 1 species